rnacentral:rRNA from 1 species
AGGACGAACGCUGGCGGCGUGCUUAACACAUGCAAGUCGAACGGAAAGGCCCGCUUGCGGGUACUCGAGUGGCGAACGGGUGAGUAACACGUGGGCAACCUGCCCUCAGCUUCGGGAUAACUCUCGGAAACGGGUGCUAAUACCGAAUGUUGACAUUUCCUCGCAUGGGGUUGUGUUGAAAGUUUUUCGGCUGGGGAUGGGCCCGCGGCCUAUCAGCUUGUUGGUGGGGUGAUGGCCUACCAAGGCGACGACGGGUAGCCGGCCUGAGAGGGCGAUCGGCCACACUGGAACUGAGACACGGUCCAGACUCCUACGGGAGGCAGCAGUGGGGAAUAUUGCGCAAUGGGCGGAAGCCUGACGCAGCGACGCCGCGUGAGGGAUGAAGGUCUUCGGAUUGUAAACCUCUUUCAGUAGGGACGAAUUUAGACGGUACCUGCAGAAGAGCACGGCCAACUACGCGCCAGCAGCCGC